UACAGAGGUCCCAAGCGUUGUUCGGAUUCACUGGGCGUAAAGGGUGCGUAGGUGGUGGGGUAAGUCGGAUGUGAAAGCUCGGAGCUCAACUCCGAAAUGGCAUUGGAAACUACCCUGCUAGAGGAUUGGAGGGGGGACUGGAAUACUUGGUGUAGCAGUGAAAUGCGUAGAUAUCAAGUGGAACACCAGCGGCGAAGGCGAGUCCCUGGACAAUACCUGACACUGAGGCACGAAAGCUAGGGGAGCAAACAGG
rnacentral:rRNA from 1 species